ACUCAAAUGAAUAGACGGGGACCCGCACAAGCAGCGGAGCAUGUGGUUUAAUUCGAAGCAACGCGAAGAACCUUACCAGGGUUUGACAUCCCCCUGAAAGCCCCUUAAACGGGGCCUCCUUAGGGCAGGGGAGACAGGUGGUGCAUGGUUGUCGUCAGCUCGUGUCGUGAGAUGUUGGGUUAAGUCCCGCAACGAGCGCAACCCUUGUCAUUAGUUGCCAUCAUUCAGUUGGGCACUCUAGUGAGACUGCCGGGGAUAACUCGGAGGAAGGUGGGGACGACGUCAAAUCAUCAUGCCCCUUAUGCCCUGGGCUACACACGUGCUACAAUGGCCGGUACAACAAGCCGCAAAGCCGCGAGGCGGAGCAAAUCUCAAAAACCGGCCCCAGUUCGGAUUGCAGGCUGCAACUCGCCUGCAUGAAGCCGGAGUUGCUAGUAAUCGCAGAUCAGAAUGCUGCGGUGAAUGCGUUCCCGGGUCUUGUACACACCGCCCGU
rnacentral:rRNA from 1 species